rnacentral:rRNA from 1 species
AGUUUUGAUCAUGGCUCAGAGUGAACGCUGGCGGCGUGCUUAACACAUGCAAGUCGAACGGUAACAGGCUCUUCGGAGUGCUGACGAGUGGCGAACGGGUGAGUAAUGUAUAGUUAAUUUUCCCCUUGGAGAGGGAUAGCCACUGGAAACGGUGAUUAAUACCUCAUACUCCUUUUAACCAAAAGGUUGAAAGGGAAAUGGUUUAUUCUGCCAAGGGAUAAGACUAUAUCCUAUCAGCUAGUUGGUAGUGUAAAGGACUACCAAGGCAAUGACGGGUAGCUGGUCUGAGAGGAUGAUCAGCCACACUGGAACUGAGACACGGUCCAGACUCCUACGGGAGGCAGCAGUGGGGAAUAUUGCACAAUGGGGGAAACCCUGAUGCAGCAACGCCGCGUGGAGGAAGAAGCAUUUAGGUGUGUAAACUCCUUUUAUCAAGGAAGAA